CUAGUAGCUGGUUCCCUCCGAAGUUUCCCUCAGGAUAGCUGGAGCCCGUGCGCGAGUUCUAUCGGGUAAAGCCAAUGAUUAGAGGCAUCGGGGGCGCAAUGCCCUCGACCUAUUCUCAAACUUUAAAUAGGUAGGACGGCGCGGCUGCUCUGCUGAGCCGCGCCACGGACUCGAGAGCUCCAAGUGGGCCAUUUUUGGUAAGCAGAACUGGCGAUGCGGGAUGAACCGGAAGCCGGGUUACGGUGCCCGACUACCCGCUAACCCAGAACCCACAAAGGGUGUUGAUCGAUUAAGACAGCAGGACGGUGGUCAUGGAAGUCGAAAUCUGCUAAGGAGUGUGUAACAACUCACAUGCCAAAUCAACUAGCCCCGAAAAUGGAUGGCGUUGAAGCACGCGACCCACACCCUGCCAUAGGGGCGAGCACCAGGCCCCGAUGAGUAGGAGGGCGCGGCAGCCGCCGCAAAGCCCGGGGCGCGAGCCCGGGGGAAGCAGCCAUCGGUGCGGAUCUUGGUGGUAGUAGCAAAUAUUCAAAUGAGAACAUUGAAGGCCGAAGAGGGAAAACGUUCUAUGUGAACGGCACUUUCACAUGGGUUAGCCGAUCUUAAGGGACGGGGGAGGCACGUCAGAGAGCAAGCGAGCUUUGAAAGGGAACCGGGUUAAAAUUCCCGAGCCAGGACGUGGCGGCUGACGGCGACGUUAGGGAGUCCGGAGACGCCGGUGGGGGCCCAGGGGAGAGUUAUCAUUUCUGCUUAACGGCCCGCCCACCCUGGAAACGGCUCAGCCCAAGGUAGGGUCCAGCGGCCGAAAGAGCGCCGCAAAUCGCAAGGCGUCCGGCGCGCCCCGGCGGCCUGUGAAA
rnacentral:rRNA from 1 species